rnacentral:rRNA from 1 species
CACGUAGGGCGCGAGCGUUGUUCGGAAUUAUUGGGCGUAAAGGGCGCGUAGGCGGUGUGUCAAGUCAGGCGUGAAAGCCCCGGGCUCAACCUGGGAACCGCGCUUGAGACUGGCACGCUAGAGUUCGGGAGAGGAUGGUGGAAUUCCCAGUGUAGAGGUGAAAUUCGUAGAUAUUGGGAAGAACACCGAUGGCGAAGGCAGCCAUCUGGACCGACACUGACGCUGAGGCGCGAAAGCGUGGGGAGCAAACAGG